GAUGAAGAACGUAGCGAAAUGCGAUACGUAGUGUGAAUUGCAGAAUUCAGUGAAUCAUCGAAUCUUUGAACGCACAUUGCACCUCUCGGUAUUCCGGGAGGUAUGCCUGUUCGAGCGUCAUUUGUACCCUCAAGCUCUGCUUGGUGUUGGGUGUUUGUUCCGCCUCUGUGUGUGAACUCGCCUCAAAACAAUUGGCAGCCGGCGUACUUGUUUCGGAGCGCAGCACAUUUUGCGAUCCAGAUCAACGUACAGCGGCAUCCAAGAAGCCUUAUUUAACGCUCUUGACCUCGGAACAGGUAGGGAUACCCGCUGAACUUAAGCAUAUCAAUAAGCGGAGGA
rnacentral:misc_RNA from 1 species